CAGGGAAUCUUCCGCAAUGGACGAAAGUCUGACGGAGCAACGCCGCGUGAGCGAUGAAGGCCUUCGGGUCGUAAAGCUCUGUUGUUAGGGAAGAACAAGUGUGAGUUGAAUAAGCUCAUGCCUUGGCGGUACCUAACCAGAAAGCCACGGCUAACUACGUGCCAGCAGCCGCGGUAAUACGUAGGUGGCAAGCGUUAUCCGGAAUUAUUGGGCGUAAAGCGCGCGCAGGCGGUUUCUUAAGUCUGAUGUGAAAGCCCACGGCUCAACCGUGGAGGGUCAUUGGAAACUGGGAGACUUGAGUGCAGAAGAGGAGAGUGGAAUUCCAUGUGUAGCGGUGAAAUGCGUAGAGAUAUGGAGGAACACCAGUGGCGAAGGCGACUCUCUGGUCUGUAACUGACGCUGAGGCGCGAAAGCGUGGGGAGCAAACAG
rnacentral:rRNA from 1 species